UAUCGGAGAGUUUGAUCCUGGCUCAGGACGAACGCUGGCGGCGUGCCUAAUACAUGCAAGUCGAGCGGACUGAUGGGAGCUUGCUCCCUGAAGUCAGCGGCGGACGGGUGAGUAACACGUGGGUAACCUGCCUGUAAGACUGGGAUAACUCCGGGAAACCGGGGCUAAUACCGGAUAGUUCUUUUCCUCGCAUGAGGAAAAGUGGAAAGGCGGCUUCGGCUGCCACUU
rnacentral:rRNA from 1 species